rnacentral:rRNA from 1 species
UCCUGACUGACCGAUAGUGAACCAGUACCGUGAGGGAAAGGCGAAAAGAACCCCGGCGAGGGGAGUGAAAAAGAACCUGAAACCGUGUACGUACAAGCAGUGGGAGCCUCUUUUAUGGGGUGACUGCGUACCUUUUGUAUAAUGGGUCAGCGACUUAUAUUCUGUAGCAAGGUUAACCGAAUAGGGGAGCCGAAGGGAAACCGAGUCUUAACUGGGCGUUAAGUUGCAGGGUAUAGACCCGAAACCCGGUGAUCUAGCCAUGGGCAGGUUGAAGGUUGGGUAACACUAACUGGAGGACCGAACCGACUAAUGUUGAAAAAUUAGCGGAUGACUUGUGGCUGGGGGUGAAAGGCCAAUCAAACCGGGAGAUAGCUGGUUCUCCCCGAAAGCUAUUUAGGUAGCGCCUCGUGAAUUCAUCUCCGGGGGUAGAGCACUGUUUCGGCAAGGGGGUCAUCCCGACUUACCAACCCGAUGCAAACUGCGAAUACCGGAGAAUGUUAUCACGGGAGACACACGGCGGGUGCUAACGUCCGUCGUGAAGAGGGAAACAACCCAGACCGCCAGCUAAGGUCCCAAAGUCAUGGUUAAGUGGGAAACGAUGUGGGAAGGCCCAGACAGCCAGGAUGUUGGCUUAGAAGCAGCCAUCAUUUAAAGAAAGCGUAAUAGCUCACUGGUCGAGUCGGCCUGCGCGGAAGAUGUAACGGGGCUAAACCAUGCACCGAAGCUGCGGCAGCGACGCUUAUGCGUUGUUGGGUAGGGGAGCGUUCUGUAAGCCUGUGAAGGUGUGCUGUGAGGCAUGCUGGAGGUAUCAGAAGUGCGAAUGCUGACAUAAGUAACGAUAAAGCGGGUGAAAAGCCCGCUCGCCGGAAGACCAAGGGUUCCUGUCCAACGUUAAU